UCAGAUGGCUGAACGUUUAUCGGUGGACUGUAGUCCCAUGAACGGAGGUUUAAAUCCUCCUCCUGC
rnacentral:tRNA from 1 species